GACUGAGCCGGGGCGCCUCGCAUGCGUCUCCCCCGGAGAUGACCGGCGACCGUGAGUGCCUGGCACCCUCGCGCCCCUCCUGCAGCAGGACAGCAGACACUCAGAUGAUUCAAGGUCCUUGUCACACUUAAGGUUACUCCCAAGGCUUGAACCUAGACUGGAGAUCUCUGGCUUCCCCUGAGAACUCUCUCCCAGUUGGAAUUUUCACAGCCUUGGCUCCUUCUGCCUGCAGCUGCCUAAGAGCCCAGGAUAACAAAUGCAGACGGUUCUUCAUACAGUCUUCCUGAAGAAGCAGAAAUCUGGCCAGAUCAACAGACCACUGCAUCCCCUGAGGCUAAAGUCUACAGUAUCUUUGUGCCCAUUAAAGUUAUGAAAAGCUAUUCUUACUUAGUUA